CGUGUAGGCGAGACUGCAAGUCAGAUGUGAAAUUCCAGGGCUCAACCCUGGACCUGCAUUUGAAACUGUGGUUCUUGAGUGAUGGAGAGGCAGGCGGAAUUCCCUGUGUAGCGGUGAAAUGCGUAGAUAUAGGGAGGAACACCAGUGGCGAAGGCGGCCUGCUGGACAUUAACUGACGCUGAGGCGCGAAAGCGUGGGAGCAAACA
rnacentral:rRNA from 1 species